CUUAAGCCCUCACAGUUCUGUCCACAGUGAAUUAGAAUCUCUUCAAUGAAAGUACACUUCAGUGUGCAGGCUGUUGAGUUAUGUGAAACUGAAACUUUUUAUCAUCGGCUAAUUUUUUUCCCUGUGACAUCUGCACUACUUUCGUAUACAUGUUAAUUCUUUCUGGUGAAAGUGAAAGCUAAUUUUCUUUCUCCAAUCCAGAUAUGUCGAUUGGGGAGGGAGGAUUUGAAAGGCACGGUUUUGAUGGAACCUUCAGUUAAUGCACAAUAAGUGUUCAUCCCGGACAUUGACACUGUAACUGAUAUUGUGUUUGUGUAUGCACCAGGGAAGGCAAGUGCGAUAAUAUUCAGUCUUAACUACUGUCCUUCACAUCGAAAAGGCACUGGAAUUUCUGCAUCAAGGUGGUGUUACCCAAUCUGUUGCCUCAUGCAAUCCAAAUAGGAAGAUCUGCACCUGGUAAUUGAUCUGGCGUAAGCCUGUCCCAAGAGUAGUUUUCUAUCAACAACAGUGAAUUCUCUGCAUAAGUUUGCUCUUUCAGCCAGAGGUUCAGUUUAUCAAUCCAGAUAUGAAAUCAUGAAUCAAACUAUAGACAGAAGGUAUUGACUCCUCACCUUUACAUCAAAAAAUCUAUACAUAAACAUGCCAU